rnacentral:rRNA from 1 species
GAUGAACGCUGACAGAAUGCUUAACACAUGCAAGUCUUUGGCGAAGCUGUGCUUGCACCGCCUAGCCAAGGCGGACGGGUGAGUAACGCGUAAGGAACUUGCCCUGCAGUCAGGGAUAACAGACGGAAACGACUGAUAAGACCUGGUAAAGUCAGGCGGACUCAUGUCCAGCCUGAUGAAAAGAGAUGCUGCAGGAGAGCCUUGCGCCCUAUUAGCUUGUUGGUGGGGUAACGGCCCACCAAGGCGAUGAUAGGUAGCCGGCCUGAGAGGGUGGACGGCCACAAGGGGACUGAGAUACGGCCCUUACUCCUACGGGAGGCAGCAGUGGGGAAUAUUGGACAAUGGGGGCAACCCUGAUCCAGCAAUUCUGUGUGCACGAUGAAGGUUUUCGGAUUGUAAAGUGCUUUCAGCAGGGAAGAAAAAAAUGACGGUACCUGCAGAAGAAGCGACGGCUAAAUACGUG